UGGGCUGGUCGAAAGACCCGGGGUCCACCAAAUGGCGGGUAAGACACCC
rnacentral:sRNA from 12 species